GGCACAGGAAGGGCGUGCGUCACGCCUGGCAGGGAUUCGUCCUACGCAGAAUGAAAGUGAUUGGAUGUUAGUGAAAUAUUCCCCAUCCCGUCCUCUUCGAUAAACAUCUGACCUACGUCUCUACACUCCUGUUAUCUCUGGUCCCACUCCCGCCUCCAAGACUUCACACGUGCUGCUCCUGUCCUUUGGAACUCUCUACCCCGCUCCAUUAGACUGUCUCCAACCUUGUAUAGCUUCAGACGAUCCUUGAAAACCCACCUAUUCAGAGAGGCUUACCAUCUCUCCUCCAUCCCGCAUCCGAACCAAACUAAUACAUGAACUGCCUGACUCACUGCUGCAAAUACAACUAAUGUAACAAGCUACCCCAACCUUAUGUCUCUGCACCCUAAACCUAUAGACUGUGAGCUCUCCGGAGCAGGGCCCUCUUCCUCCUGUGCUAGAUUUGUUUCGUUUUGUUAUGUUUUAUAUUUUAUCACAAAUCUUUGUCAUUGUAUACCCCUAACUUUGUACCCAGCGCUACAGAUUUUGGCGGCGCUAUACAAAUAAAUGAUAAUAAUAAUAAUAA